GCUGGGUGAGGUGGUGUACACCUGUAAUCCCCAGUAUUCUGGAGGCUGAAGCAGGAGGAUCACAAGUUUGAGGCCAACUGGGGCAACUUUGUGAAAGCCUAUCUCAA
rnacentral:sRNA from 1 species